ensembl:lncRNA
GUGUACAUCUGUUUGCUGUGUGGGACUGAUCACCACCCCUUCCACGUUAGCAGUCAUGGAUCAUUUCUGCUGACAGAAGACAAACUACCUGGUGACCAGGUCAGCCCUAGUUCCUAGGCUUCUGAAUUCCCAGCAACACUGGUGUCAAGCUCCAGAUGGUUACUCAAGAGGUAACUCCCAUUCCCACAAUGGAUAAGGAUAACAUGUAGAAGUCAUGACAUGAAUUCGUAAAAUUUAUGCAGAUGUACAGCCUCCAGCUGCAUCACUUCCACCCUAGAGAGUCCUUGAUGGCCAGCAGUCAUCCCCCCAGAAAUAGCAAUACGAGCUGGGGUUCCUAGCAAAACACCACCACCAGCAACCACGAUCUCCCUUACUUUUGGAGCUCUCUUCUCAGGAAUGGUGAAGAUGUUUGUGCAUCAUUGUAUGGGGACUGUUAAGUCAUGGCCUGAAUCACUGAUGGAGCACCUGGGAAAAGGACACGGUCAGCCCUGGGAGUACAGGUGAAGGCAAUUCAUCUGUGUGACUGGAAGGGGUGGAGCCUGGCUGCACCUCUCUUAGACCUCAUUUAAGGGCAGACUGCCACUGUGGAAGGAUCUCUGGUUGGAGAUCUCUCCCUCGUGGAGUUUUUCCCCUUAGCCUAGUUCUUUGGCAACUGAUGAGCACUUUUAUAACACUAUUCCACCCCUUUGCUGUUAUACUCCUCUAUUGUCUUUCUACUGCGCUAACCUUUUUGAUUCUAACAAUCAUCCUUAAGGCUGAGCUGCACCACUCCUAUAGCUUCACCAAAUAGAUGAAGGUUUCACCUGGGAGGCCAUCAAUGGUCUAUGCCACACAGAAGUACUAGUAAAUGUCUACAAAAGUGACAGCAUCCCAUGAGUUUCCCUGUUAUGGUGAGUGAGAGCACUUCCUACAGGAGGAACUGGGAAGCAUCCAGGCCCUGUCUAGACAGGAGGAAAAGAGGUGAAAGGGGAACACUGAGAGAAGAAAAUGGAAGAAGCAGAAUAAGGCUGAGCUGUACCUGGCUGGAGGGUGCCUUGUAUACGCAUGCACAAGCAGUGGUAAAUGUGAGCUCCUCAUAGCAACCAUCUCUCUCCAGUGCAAGGGGACAGUAAUGGAGUUGGGAGCCUGCUCUCAGUGAGCAUGUAGAUGACUCAGCUUAUUUAUUCAGGCUGGAUUCUCCCAGUUUCUCUGGGAGAAGCCAGGUGUCCUAACAAACUAUUAGCUCAAACAAAUGUGCUUGCUCAGGGUCAUUGCUCAUUUCCAGGUCAGAUGCAGGGAGGCCAAAGACUUGGGAAGAUGCAGAGAAGCCAGGCUGCUUUCCAGUCUGAGCCUGAAAACAAGGGAGGGCAAGAAAAAAAUGAAUGCCGAUUGCUUUCAAACAGUUCAGAUCAUCAGCAAAGGAAAGCUGCUCUUCGACUUUCUGCUGCAGCUUGAAGGACUUAAAGAGGCUCUCCCAGCACCCCCAUCUAAAGUCUGUAGGAGUAGUGAUGAUCCCUAGACAGGAUGCAGCUUCAUAAGAUGAACCCCCCAAACAUUAGACUGCAACUGUAAGGACCUGGCUUCAUCACCAGGCCUUUGGAGUACUGGAGGAGCCCUAUAACGGUGUCAAAUGGAACUUCAACAGUCAGUGGAGGGAAGGUUACUGGUUUUUGCCCUUUAUCAUCUUGUCCCAGUCAGUCUCACGUAACCUUGUCAGAGACACUAAGUACCUCCAGCUGCCAUUCAAGCAUGUCUGCACAUCAGGGCAGCAAUGCUCUUUUCAAAGUGGUUAUUUGACCAGAAGUCAAUAUUAGAGCACAUAAGGAAACAGGGAAAGCAAAUGAUGCCAGCCAAAUGGAGCACUAAGAGAGCAUCAUUUCACAGAGCUCAGUACCUCACUAUGCAUCCAAGUUUUAAAAUGGUACCAAAUACCACCCUAUCAGGACAGCAUGAUUUUAUGCCCUUUGGGUACUACUGAGAAUGAUGAAACAGGAGAAACACAGCUGUGUGGAAGGGUGGAUUGCAGAAAAUAACUGUUUUCUUUUCUCCUCCUUUUUGUCUCUACCUCCCUGUUUCUGUGGGUAGGAGUGAGGACUUGAAGGUCUCUGCUCUUAUCCAUGUGCUAGAUCCUCCUAUGCAGCAUCUCUCCCAGAACAAAGGUCAUCCCCCAAGGAUAAGCGGAACAGCCACAGAUAGAUAACACUUCUGAUCUCCAGCCUUCCCCCUCUUGGGGGCUGAGAUUGAAGCUGAGUGUUUGAAAGCUCUCCAGAAACCACAAGGAAGGCUGCUAAGAGAUGAGGCAGCCAUUCAGCAGCCUUCCAAGAGGAG